AGCUUGCUAGAUAUGAUUAGUGGCGGACGGGUGAGUAACAUUUAGGAAUCUGCCUAGUAGUGGGGGAUAGCUCGGGGAAACUCGAAUUAAUACCGCAUACGACCUACGGGUGAAAGGGGGCGCAAGCUCUUGCUAUUAGAUGAGCCUAAAUCAGAUUAGCUAGUUGGUGGGGUAAAGGCCCACCAAGGCGACGAUCUGUAACUGGUCUGAGAGGAUGAUCAGUCACACCGGAACUGAGACACGGUCCGGACUCCUACGGGAGGCAGCAGUGGGGAAUAUUGGACAAUGGGGGCAACCCUGAUCCAGCCAUGCCGCGUGUGUGAAGAAGGCCUUUUGGUUGUAAAGCACUUUAAGCAGGGAGGAGAGACUAAUGGUUAAUACCCAUUAGAUUAGACGUUACCUGCAGAAUAAGCACCGGCUAACUCUGUGCCAGCAGCCGCGGUAAUACAGAGGGUGCGAGCGUUAAUCGGAAUUACUGGGCGUAAAGCGAGUGUAGGUGGCUCAUUAAGUCACAUGUGAAAUCCCCGGGCUUAACCUGGGAACUGCAUGUGAUACUGGUGGUGCUAGAAUAUGUGAGAGGGAAGUAGAAUUCCAGGUGUAGCGGUGAAAUGCGUAGAGAUCUGGAGGAAUACCGAUGGCGAAGGCAGCUUCCUGGCAUAAUAUUGACACUGAGAUUCGAAAGCGUGGGUAGCAAACAGGAUUAGAUACCCUGGUAGUCCACGCCGUAAACGAUGUCUACUAGCCGUUGGGGUCCUUGAGACUUUAGUGGCGCAGUUAACGCGAUAAGUAGACCGCCUGGGGAGUACGGCCGCAAGGUUAAAACUCAAAUGAAUUGACGGGGGCCCGCACAAGCGGGUGGAGCAUGUGGUUUAAUUCGAUGCAACGCGAAGAACCUUACCUG
rnacentral:rRNA from 1 species